UGACGAGCGGCGGACGGGUGAGUAAUGCCUAGGAAUCUGCCUAGUAGUGGGGGAUAACGUUCGGAAACGGACGCUAAUACCGCAUACGUCCUACGGGAGAAAGUGGGGGACCUUCGGGCCUCACGCUAUUAGAUGAGCCUAGGUCGGAUUAGCUAGUUGGUGAGGUAAUGGCUCACCAAGGCGACGAUCCGUAACUGGUCUGAGAGGAUGAUCAGUCACACUGGAACUGAGACACGGUCCAG
rnacentral:rRNA from 1 species